CCUACGGGAGGCAGCAGUGGGGGAUAUUGCACAAUGGGGGAAACCCUGAUGCAGCGACGCCGCGUGGGUGAAGAAGCGCCUCGGCGCGUAAAGCCCUGUCAGCAGGGAAGAAAAGGACGGUACCUGAAGAAGAAGCCCUGGCUAACUACGUGCCAGCAGCCGCGGUAAUACGCAGGGGGAAAGCGUUCUCCGGAUUGACUGGGUGUAAAGGGGGCGCAGACGGCGGUGCAAGUCAGGAGUGAAAGCCCGGGGCCCAACCACGGGACUGCACUUGGAACUGGGAGGCUGGAGUGCAGGAGGGGCAGGCGGAAUUCCAGGUGUAGCGGUGAAAUGCGUAGAUAUCAGGAGGAACACCGGUGGCGAAGGCGGCCUGCUGGACUGCAACUGACGUUGAGGCCCGAAAGCGUGGGGAGCAAACAGGAUUAGAUACCCUAGUAGUC
rnacentral:rRNA from 1 species